AAAUUUAUUGUUCAUUUUUUAAGCAAGUCAAUUACACAGUAACAUGACAAUUCGAGGUUUUUUUUUUCCCACACAAGUGAUAACUGAGUUCUGUUAAGCUCUGCUACAUUACACCAUUCAGUAAGGUAAACUAGUCAAACCACCUGUUUUGAUGACAUUUACAAAAGGCACAGUUUUGUGUACCUUAAGGAACUAGAUACAUUCAAGAUUUCAGAGUCAGAGUUUGUCCCAUAACUAAAAAAAAGUUGACAGUGGCUCCCUGCACAUCCAUACUAAGGUGCAGGACUGUCAGAAACCAUUUUCAGUCUGCCAAGGUAAAAUUUACAGCCUCAGUUCAUUUUAUUUUUCUUACCUUUUUUUAAACCAUUGGGAAUAAAGAAUCAACUUGCUAGCCCAUUACUAACACAUUUUAAAAUAAUUAAUUCUGAUAAAUUAAUAUAUUCUAACAGUUUUCACAGUACAGUUUUAUAUUCCUGUCUCUUUCAAGCAGUUUUCAGUGCACUAGCCAGUUUCAUCACAAAAAAAAUACAGUGCCAAACUCUUAAUCCAUAGGCAUUUGCACCUUUCCUCAAGACAACCUUCUUUGUCUUUGAACAUGCUUGAUUUGCUAUGUCUGAGUCAUGAUUUAUUCAAAUAGUACAAUAAAGAUCCAAUGAUUAAGUCUUUUUCCUUAACAGCUACUGAAGUUUGGGUUUAAUUCCAAACGUGCUCCUUAACACCACAAUACUUCCUAUAUCUAAUAUUUAUCUGAAGUUUUAAAUUGUAAGCUUUUAACAUCAUUUAAGUUUUUGAAGCUUUCAAUGGAAAAAUCACUUUGAAUCAAGUGAAAGGCACUGUAUAUUAAAAAGAAACGUUUCUGCAAGGAACACAAUUCUUACGUGAUCCAAGCUGAAUGACAUCUGCAUACUCACAAGUAGUGUUAAACUAAAUUUUAAGAGCAACUAAGAGUUGUUUGCUUUCAGCCUCCGCUUGGCGGGGAACAGCCGGAAAACUCAGGCUAAUCUUUCAACUGAAGUAUACCAGAUGCUUUAACUACAGAUUUUCACAAAUUCCAAACUAGAAUUGUUUACAUCCAGUUUGAGUACUGAUCCGUCUAUCUAGCAGCUCUUAAAAAAAAUUAAUAGUUUUCAUCAAUAAAAAGAAACCCUAAACAAGCCAGUCAUCUAAUAAACUAAAAGAAUCCCAAAACACAUAUCCAGUUCUUUCAGAGUGCACAGGUUUUCUAUCUCAGUAGGAGGCACUGUUAGUGCAAGGCUUUUAUUUCCCCCUCCAAAUGCAAUAUGCUUUUAAGAGCUUUUAAGAGCUGGUAAAAAACAUUGUUCUAAAACACCUCAGAUUAUAUAAAACAGGAUCACAUCUCUUAGGCUAACAAGCUUUUCACUGAGCAAAGGCAUCAUCACUAUUUAAAGUUAUUUUAAGUAAACAAUUUUCAAUAGCAAAAAAAAAAAAGCCAGUACUAAAAGAUUCCUCAAUGCCAAAAGUACUAGCAAAAAUUAGCACUUCUGGUUAUUAUAGGUACGAGACAAAUUCUUUAAAACAUGUAAUUUAACACCUCUAUAACUUGCUAUAUUUGCCCUGUUAAGCAUUUCAGUUAUUAAUUAAUUGGACCCACAACGAAGAGUCCAGACAGGUCAGGAAAAUCUUCCAAAGUGACAUUCUUCAACUUUUAAAUCACAGCUGGUCCUAACAGUGAACAAAUUCAGUGUCACAACUUGGAUCUGAUUCUGACAAAGUAAUACAUUGACUAGUUUUAACCAAGGUUAGUACCAAAUUACACAACAAAAAAAUUAAGUGCUAUGAAGAUCUGAGUAUCAUUUUCUAUCAACUCUUUCAAGUCAAAACACAAUUAAGUAUGCUACGAGCUUGAUUACA
rnacentral:lncRNA from 7 species